AUGAACGCUGGCGGCGUGCCUAAUACAUGCCAGUCGAGCGAACAGAUGAGGAGCUUGCUCCUCUGACGUUAGCGGCGGACGGGUGAGUAACACGUGGAUAACCUACCUAUAAGACUGGGAUAACUUCGGGAAACCGGAGCUAAUACCGGAUAAUAUAUUGAACCGCAUGGUUCAAUAGUGAAAGACGGUUUUGCUGUCACUUAUAGAUGGAUCCGCGCCGCAUUAGCUAGUUGGUAAGGUAACGGCUUACCAAGGCAACGAUGCGUAGCCGACCUGAGAGGGUGAUCGGCCACACUGGAACUGAGACACGGUCCAGACUCCUACGGCAGGCAGCAGUAGGGAAUCUUCCGCAAUGGGCGAAAGCUUGACGGAGCAACGCCGCGUGAGUGAUGAAGGUCUUCGGAUCGUAAAACUCUGUUAUUAGGGAAGAACAAAUGUGUAAGUAACUAUGCACGUCUUGACGGUACCUAAUCAGAAAGCCACGGCUAACUACGUG
rnacentral:rRNA from 1 species